GAUGAACGCUGGCGGCGUGGUUAACACAUGCAAGUCGAACGGAAAGGCCCAAGCUUGCUUGGGUCCUCGAGUGGCGAACGGGUGAGUAACACGUGGGUGAUCUGCCCUGCACUUCGGGAUAAGCCUGGGAAACUGGGUCUAAUACUGGAUAGGACCACUUCUUGGAUGUUGUGGUGGAAAGUUUUUUCGGUGUGGGAUGAGCUCGCGGCCUAUCAGCUUGUUGGUGGGGUAAUGGCCUACCAAGGCGUCGACGGGUAGCCGGCCUGAGAGGGUGUACGGCCACAUUGGGACUGAGAUACGGCCCAGACUCCUACGGGAGGCAGCAGUGGGGAAGAUUGCACAAUGGGCGCAAGCCUGAUGCAGCGACGCCGCGUGGGGGAUGACGGCCUUCGGGUUGUAAACUCCUUUCGCUAGGGACGAAGCGUUUUGUGACGGUACCUGGAGAAGAAGCACCGGCUAACUACGUG
rnacentral:rRNA from 1 species